AACGCCGUUGGGGACAAUUCCUAUUAUAUACAACGCGUGAAAUUUGGACGCAUUAACACGCACAGUUUGUACGCGUAAAUACGAAGUAUAUGUUCGGGUGUCGCGUCAGACCGCACAACAGCCAAUAGCGUUGCUCUAUUUAGGAUUUAAUUUGCAUUUGUGAUGCGAUGGCACGUUGCUGUAUACAUAUAUAAACAUCAGACGACAUUUCUUUCCGUGAGGGAUGAUGUGCUGUUAGGUUUUUUGUCUCCGGUAACGUGGAAAAGUCGAUUGCUCUCUACGAUGGCUCUUAGAAAUUUUUUAUUAAACUGUCAAAGAACUUUUACAGACUGCGUUCAGUUGGCAUUCUCUUAUAACACGGAGUAUGAUUUGAAUAUCAUCAUAACCAGAAUGCAGACAAUGGCCAGAAGUAUGACAUGGUCUAGAGUGCGACUACUUGGUCCAGAAACAGAAAAUAGUAUCCUGAAUAGUCUGUCUGAAUUCAUGGAUAUUCUGGAAACAUUGCCUCAACCGCAAGUUAUGCUCUAAAUAGUCAGAUUGACUGUAAUUUUAAUAUAAUGUUUUGUGUUAUAAUUCAUUUUAUUCUUCUGUCAACUUCCCCAGGCUUACAGUGCUCCAUUGGUGAGGGGUUUCUCUGGUCGACCACAAUAUUCCAUUACACAGGAGCAGUUAUGUGAAAUGAUUUGUUCAUGGCAGUACUAAAUUAAAACAAAUCUUCAAAAAUA